AACGAACGCUGGCGGCAUGCCUAACACAUGCAAGUCGAACGAGACCUUCGGGUCUAGUGGCGCACGGGUGCGUAACGCGUGGGAACCUGCCCUUAGGUUCGGAAUAACUCCCCGAAAGGGGUGCUAAUACCGGAUAAUGUCUUCGGACCAAAGAUUUAUCGCCUUUGGAUGGGCCCGCGUUGGAUUAGCUAGUUGGUAGGGUAAAAGCCUACCAAGGCGACGAUCCAUAGCUGGUCUGAGAGGAUGAUCAGCCACACUGGGACUGAGACACGGCCCAGACUCCUAGGGAAGGGAGCAGAGGGGAAUACUGGACAAGGGGGGAAGGCCUGAUCCAGCAGUGCGGGGGGAGUGAUGAUGCCGUUAGGGUUGUAAAGCCGUUUUACCCGGGAUGAUAAUGACGGUACCGGGAGAAUAAGCACCGGCUAACUCCGUG
rnacentral:rRNA from 1 species